rnacentral:ncRNA from 1 species
CAUCGUGAGUUGGAAUCUGAAAGAAGCCGGCGGCAAACAUCUGACCUAACGAACAGAAACUUCAUACAAGGCAUAUGACCGUGGGUAAGGUUGCUACACAAACCAAAGCCCGAUAGCUAUUCGGAUCGGUCGGUGGAGUUUCCUUGAGCUUGCGAAAAAAUGAAGUGGGUG